UCGAGAAUCUUCCGCAAUGGACGAAAGUCUGACGGAGCGACGCCGCGUGAUGGAUGAAGUCCCUCUGGGACGUAAACAUCUUUUAUGAGGGAGAAAGUUUAUUGAUAGUACCUCACGAAUAAGGGGUUGCUAAACUCGUGCCAGCAGCAGCGGUAAUACGAGUGCCCCGAGCGUUAUCCGGAAUCAUUGGGCGUAAAGGGUGUGUAGGUGGCAUUGUUAGUCGAUUGUUAAAACCUGGGGCUUAACCCCAGAUGUGCGAUCGAAACGGCAAAGCUAGAGGAUGGCAGGGAUGUAUGGAACUCAUGGAGUAGGGGUGAAAUCCGUUGAUAUCAUGGGGAACACCGAAAGCGAAGGCAGUACAUUGGGCCACUCCUGACACUGAAACACGAAAGCGUGGGUAGCGAAUGGGAUUAGAUACCCCAGUAGUCCCUGAGCGGGCUGGCAAGGCGCAU
rnacentral:rRNA from 1 species